rnacentral:tRNA from 1 species
GCGGGUGUGGCGAAAUUGGCAGACGCGCUGGAUUUAGGUUCCAGUGGGGCAACCCGUGGAGGUUCGAAUCCUCUCACCCGCA